AGCAGCCGCGGUAAUUCCAGCUCCAAUAGCGUAUAUUAAAGUUGCUGCAGUUAAAAAGCUCGUAGUUGAAUUUCGGGACCGAUAUAUCGGUCGUGCCUCGGUACGUACUGGUAUUUUCGGUUUCUCCCUUCUGACGAACCUUGAUGUCAUUAAUUUGGUGUCUUGGGGAAUCAGGACUGUUACUUUGAAAAAAUUAGAGUGUUUAAAGCAGGCUCACGCUUGAAUACAUUAGCAUGGAAUAAUGAAAUAGGACGUUUGAUUCUAUUUUGUUGGUUUCUAGGAUCGACGUAAUGAUUAAUAGGGAUAGUUGGGGGCAUUAGUAUUCAAUUGUCAGAGGUGAAAUUCUUGGAUUUAUUGAAGACUAACUACUGCGAAAGCAUUUGCCAAGGAUGUUUUCAUUAAUCAAGAACGAAAGUUAGGGGAUCGAAGACGAUCAGAUACCGUCGUAGUCUUAACCAUAAACUAUGCCGACUAGGGAUCGGAUGAUGUUAAUUUUUAAUGACUCAUUCGGCGCCUUACG
rnacentral:rRNA from 1 species